AUUGAACGCUGGCGGCAGGCCUGACACAUGCAAGUCGAGCGGAUGAAGGGAGCUUGCUCCUGGAUUCAGCGGCGGACGGGUGAGUAAUGCCUAGGAAUCUGCCUGGUAGUGGGGGAUAACGUCCGGAAACGGGCGCUAAUACCGCAUACGUCCUGAGGGAGAAAGUGGGGGAUCUUCGGACCUCACGCUAUCAGAUGAGCCUAGGUCGGAUUAGCUAGUUGGUGGGGUAAGGGCCUACCAAGGCGACGAUCCGUAACUGGUCUGAGAGGAUGAUCAGUCACACUGGAACUGAGACACGGUCCAGACUCCUACGGGAGGCAGCAGUGGGGAAUAUUGGACAAUGGGCGAAAGCCUGAUCCAGCCAUGCCGCGUGUGUGAAGAAGGUCUUCGGAUUGUAAAGCACUUUAAGUUGGGAGGAAGGGCAGUAAGUUAAUACCUUGCUGUUUUGACGUUACCAACAGAAUAAGCACCGGCUAACUUCGUG
rnacentral:rRNA from 1 species